ACAAUUUAAUGUGCCUUCCGGAGGAACUCGUGGACAUAGAUGAUCGCUCAUCCACGAAUCGAUCGUAUCAAGUGUAGCUAAACCUGCAAUCAGUCAACUGGUGCAGUUAUAAGUUAGACAUUAGCAUUAUAUAUAUUGGGGUUAUAUAACAGAUUGUUCCUUGUCACCAGGUACGGUCAGCUCUCUGGCAUGGUGGAGCCAGUGUUCGGCGUGCUAGGUGCGGUUGCCGUGGCGGCGGCCCAGCCCGCGCUGCCCUACGCGCUCGCCUUCGCUGCUGGCGCCAUGAUAUACGUCGUAGCUGAUGAUAUUAUACCAGAGGCUAAUGCUUCCGGUAACGGCAAGCUGGCGACGUGGGGCUGCAUCAUCGGCUUCGUGGUGAUGAUGUGCCUGGACGUCGGGCUCGGGUAACCGCCCCUCGCCCCUCCUCACGCCGUGCCUUCAUCGCCGACUUAUGCUGACUAGUAUUACCGAUCUAAGAUAAACCCACUACCCCUGUAAGUUAAUGUAGAUAUUUUUGUAUAAACUCAUGUGAUCAUCAACCUCUCAACUUUGGAUACACGAAUAUCUAUAUAUAUUCCAACUGAACCAAAUCAAAUGAUUCCCAACAUGUGAUAUUAUUUUAAAGUAAUUCCAUUACAACCAAAUUGUUUUAACGCAGAAUCUAUCCAUAAUUCAAUUGCAUAAUGAAGCGAUCUCAAGUUGUUUUAACCGGUCAUUAAAAGGUUAGGAAUCCAUCGGUCGAAAUAGUUACACGGUACGCCGAGUGUGUACGUGUCUCAAAUUUUGUACGUUUUCUAUAAUUGGUUGUAUUCAGUACUCUAAUUGGCUCGCUACAGGUAGCGGCGGCGUACACAUGCCGAUGAUACUUAACUAACAAGCUAAGCUCAGUACCUAUCAAAAGAAAAAGUUCCCAUGUUUGUCAUGAAUGUCAAUUGUAUAAAAAAUCAUUUAGAAACGUCAUUCUGAUUAGGAAUGGAAUCAUGCUCUAUUUAUGUACAGGUUGAUGUAGCAGUAAAUUUUAUUGUUGAGUAAUCUUUACUUAAAUAUGAAUAUUAAAUAAAGUUCCAAGUAUCGCCUUACGAUCGCAACUCCUGGGAUCGUAUGACGAGUCGUGUUCACUGUGUUUUAUUAUACUUAACGGGAUCUUAUGUUUACCAUAUUUGUAGGCAAUACUUCAUAAACCCUUAGAAAUUAUCUCUGAAAUGGUAAAACAUAAUUAUGUAAUAAUUUGUAGCUAUGGAACUUAGCUGUCGCCAAAUUAUUUAUAUACAUAUGGGUGGAAUUCAUUGUAAAUAUGUAAAGUGUAAUAUAUUGUGCGUGGUCCGGUGAUCGUGCGUCGCCGCGGCUGCUCAGAUGUACUGACAUCCGUAUUAUACACGUGUCAAUUGGUUUGAAUGUAGAUUUAUUUCUAUGAGAGAUAGCUUCUGCUUGAAUACAGUAGUUGUAUUAAAAAUAUACAAGAAAUGAUUGUUCUACCAAGUGUUCAGACUGGGAGAUGUUUGCGAUUUAUUUUGCAGUGCACGUAAAAGCAGUUGUACCUACCAAAUAGGUACUAUUAGGUGCCAAAACACAUAAUUUGUGUUUCCGUGUAAGUACUAAACGUACGCUAGAAAUGUCUUUGCUAAACAAACAAACCCUCAGAAAGUCUGCUUAUUUACGUUUGUUCGUCGUUAUACCAGAACGAGUAUCUAGUUAAACAAAAAGUGUUUCAAAUAUUCCAAAAAUGAUAUUAAUGUUAUAUAUAAAAAUAUUGUAUAAUUAGUACUUGUAAGAUAUUAUUAUGGUAUUCCGGUGAUUAUGGUUAUAAUAGUUAAAUUUAUGCGUAGUUACGAAUUCCACCCGUUUCUGCGUCCCAAGUGUUGUUCUCGUGGUCUCGCAUUAGUUGUUGUCUUGUCACUUUACUACGAGAACAACACUCGGGGGUAAUUUAGUUGAAUUUAAGCUAAUACUUUAAGGCCUUUGUUCGUCAGUUAGCCGACAGCACAUAAUGUCAUCUAAAGUUUCCCUGAUACAAGUUAAUACUAAUUUGUUAUUGGAAACAUCGCUAUCGAUAAAUAUCGGUUAAAAACAAUGAAUUAGUUCGGUCAUACAUAAGUAUCAACAAGGGCCUUAGAUUAAUUUUGUAUCGGAAUAGAUAAAAAAAGACAAUAUCAAUGUUUUAUAGAAAAUAACAUUAAAUAUUAAUGUAUAAUAAAUUAAUUUGGAAAAUGUACGUUUGAGUACAUACUGCAUGCAUUUAGAGGUAAGUACCUAAGUAGGUAGUGUGAGUUUUCGGUCAAUUUUAAUGUAAAGCAGUUGAAUUAAAAAAAAAUCGUUAAUAAUGUAACAGUGGACGUUACUUUGCCUCGAAAUAUAUUGAAGAAAUGAGUACUUAAGUCUUAAUCGUAUUUAAUACAAUGGUAUACAAAAGGUACCAGAAUAGUACCAAAGUGUUGGAGCCCACAUGCUUGUUCAAAACUCGCACUACUAUAUCUAAGAAUACGCUUCGGCCAUAGAUUUCCCAAAAAUAUAUUUUUAAAAUGAUAAAUUGAAAUCAAUAUUAUGUUUCCCAAAGUUGAAUAGAUAUAGUUUAAUAUUUUUGCAUUUAUUCAAUAAUGGUUGAAUAUAUUGUCACAAUAGCACAAUAUUUUAGUUUUGGUUUCAUUGUUACUUAAAAUUAAUUUAAUUGUUUUAUAUUAUACAAAAUGCAGUGUCACUUUGUUGUAUUAUUUCGAAAUUAAAAACUCCUCUUAAUACCAGUAUCAAUUGAAAGUAUUAUAUUUGGUUAGAGAAACCGUAUAUUAAACGCGAGAAACCUACGAAAAACAACCUUACUGCCUUGAAAUAAAAGCUGUGACAAUUCGUAAUGACGACUUGAAUGUUUGUGAAAGCCUCGUAGCACAAGGAUACAAUUCCUUAGUGGCGGAAUUGAUUAGUUAAAAAAAGACUAUUAUUAAAGGCAUCACACAUCACUUAGAAACGACCAAUUAUCAAGCUAUAGGUAGUAUCCUUGUUACUUUUGAACUCGAUUCCUAUCCAAAUGUGGCGUAUAUUCCAUAAACGGAAUGUGAUUUUACCUCGUAACAAAAGUUUUCCUUAUCGAGUGUAUUUAAAUGGAACGGGAGCAGCGAUAAACGGGGCCCGGCCGGGUCGUUAAUAAACCUGAGCGCAGAUAUGUACCCGUUACACUUCCUCUAGCGUUCCUCGUCACAUGUCACCAAACUAUUUUGUUGAGACACACUGGCACACACACAAUCUGUAUAUGUAUAGGUGUCUAUAUGUAUAGGUACAUACUUUAGACUAUUGUUCCUGAGAAGAAAAUUGAAAUGCUUUAUGGACCUACUUGGUUAUUUUGUAAGGAUGUCCAAGAGAAUGUUCCUCAGAUUAUAAAUAUAGAACUUUGAAAAAAGUUCUUGGCGUCUACCGUGACAUCUAAAGGUGAUAUUGUGGUGGUAGGUUUAUUUAAGUAAAUACAUACUUGUUAGUGGUUUCCAGUCAGUGAUUGAAAUAUCCAUUUAUUGUUUCUUGACAUCAGUAGAGGUAGGAAUCAAGGUUCAGUGCCGUCGGACACAUUAAGAAGGAUAUUCCAAUCACUGACUGGACACUACUAACUAGUAUAGUAGAAGCGAAUUUUAGCAAACCAAACAUGAAAUAAAACUAAAUAGGCUGGGGCGCUAAUUUGACGAGAUUUUUUUCAAUUCGUGACGCUACUUUUCUAUAAAAAAGAACUAAUUUUACAGAAUUCAUGCAAUAUUAUUCUAAUUUAUUUAUUUACUGACUAGUUUUUCGAUAAAGUUCCUUUAGAAGCACUUAUGGGGAUGACUUCAGUCAUAUAAGAUUUAUGAAAAAAAAAACAAAAGCAAUAGUCAGAAUAUAGAUAAGAGUCGAUGAAAGACAUGUUCAGCCUUUCUGUACUACUUUUGCCCUACCCUUUACUAGAAUAGGAGUUUAACAUAUGAUGAUGAUAAUUUCACAAACAUUCAAUGUAGCGUAAAUAAGCAGCCAACGAACACCGCAUACCCAGUAGCACAAUCACGCUACAGAAGACAACAGAUUUGAGUCAGCGGAAGUCCUAAAAAGAAAAUUCCUUCGUAAAACAUUACACUUUUCAUUACAUUUCAUAAUGGCGAUGACAACACGUUCAGUUCACCUUUGUUUUCUGUUCCUAAUAAGGUUUUUCGUAAACUCUACAACUCUACCAUCAUAUUGAAUGUCAAAAGUGCUUUGUACCGGCCGCUCGCGCUACAACAAUGUUAUAUGGCCUUCUUUUUUAAUUUUUCUAUGGCACAGUCACCACUGACAAAUAUUGGAAUCUGCAAUCGCCAUCACGCAGUUGGUAAGCUUCCUUGGUGAUCAGAGCUCAAAACUUAUGAGGGGAAGACUGUGCCCGACAUCUAGAGAGAGAUGCUCCAGAUGCUCUCCAUAAUUUUAGCAGCACUCCGGAGAUUGUGUAAAUGAGGGUACUUUACAGUAAAAUCAAUUUACCGUUACUAUAGUUUUAUCCACUGUAUUUAAAUUGCUACACUAUUUCAAUAUUUUUGGCAUCCUUUAGUUUUACAUUAUUAAAUUACCAAAAUAUUUAAAGAGUUGCAUUACUUACUAAAAUAAUAAAACUUAUUUCCACCCCGUUGCAGACAUCGCAGUUGAAUCCGCAGCGGCGCGGGCGCAGUAGCGACGCAGUACCUACAGUCCUUGCAACGUCGUCGUCUACGCAUUAGAAAAAUCGCUAAAAGGGCGCGCGGCGCUAUACGGUCGUCGACCCCUCAGCGCGCACCCAAACACCCGAAUACUUGCGCGUACGCAGCUCCUCUCUCCGCCGCCACCGAUAAAACCCUCUCAAUGGAAUCCGAGGCAUGCCUACAUGUGGCGGCUGAGCACGCGCGCGCACUUAUUUGUUUUGGAGGAUCACACUUACGCCCGCAUCAUGUAACUCGCCGUCAUGACUAAAAUGAAAUGCACGCAUGUAUACAUACCUCUUUCUCUUUCAGUAACAUGCAAUACGACUCUGCUUUGCGAUAUCCGAAAAAUAUUGAGAUGAGAUUUUUUGGUCAUCCUAAGAGCAAGUUCUGCAAACAAUUAAUGUCAAUGCGAAAGCUUUUAGUUAAAAAAAAACUUUUGAUUAAAAACCAAACAAUAGUUUUGGCAACAAUGACUUUAUAACAAAACUUGCAAAUAUUUUGCCAACCUUUUGUCUAUUUAACUUUAUACGUUAGUUUUGAUGCCCAAAACGGUUUAUAUUGUAUCACGUAUCAAAAGUGACUGCAUUUGGAGAUGGGACGGAAACAUUUAUGGGCGAUGUAACGUGAAGAAGCCCAUUCGAGUGAUUUCCAUUCAUUUGUUGACAAUGUAUGGUGGUGGCGCGGUCAGAGGGCGCGGGGUGCCCCGCGUGCAGUCAGCCUCGCGCGCCCGCGCCCCGCGCACGCUGUACGCUGCACCGCGGGCCUAUGCACCGCGCACGCGUUCUACACCCGUUUAAAUUCCGACCAACUUCACACGACAACCCGGCAAACUAAACUCACCUCUAUUUACUACGUGAUAAGGACUACAUCACCAGCAUCUCCGAGCUCCACGAACUGCAUCGACACAGCGCCACCAUCGAUCACUAGGUUCCCUGCACUCACCGAUCGAUGGACUAUUACAGCUUUGUUUACGUACCGUCGCCUGCGCAUAAACACUCGGCGCUCGGCGUCGGAAGUGGUCGCCGAAGCAGGCAGGGUAGCUGAGGGGCUGCGCCGGCGCACACACCUGCCUGUCCCGCCAUAUUUGCCUUACAACGUGGAUUAUUUCGUUUAUAUUGUAUACUAAGCGCUAUCUGUUGCAACAGAUGCGAUGCGCCAUUUGCGUCACUGCAUAUUUAGUGACGAUUGCACAUUCUUGUAUACUUAGUAAGGUUAUCUAGUUACUUUAUUAUUCUGCAAUGCAUGCAUUAACUAUAAUAUAUAAAUAGACAAUCACUGCCUGAAUGCGUCAGACAAACAACUUAGAAAACAUCUCGUCUAUUUUCGCUGUACUUUAAUAAAUAUUACUAUAAUGGUACACUACUUAAUCGUUUGUCUUGUUCGACUUAAUUGAAUGUCAGAUUACACCCCUUAAUGCACAUCAAUGUUAAUUACAAUAGGUUAAUCAUACUAUUUAAACACUGUGAUCAAGACAGGGGGUAAUAAAAACCUAGAAAUCGUCCUAUAAUUAAAGAGUCAUUGUAGUACCGCUUCAAUCGCAGUUGCCUGUCAAAAGUCUUUUAUCCUUUGGCAAUUGUUUUUCUUCGAAAAAAGUAUAGACGGUUAGCAGGCAACUCUAUUUAACCAACACUUGUUUUCCAAGCACAGUUGGAGGCGCUGCCACCUCACACAUACUAAGAAAUGAGCAAAUUAAAACACAUUAUAUGUUAAACAUAAGUAAACAAUGGGAUAUAAAUCUGGCUAGUCACAUUACAAUGCCUAAAUCUUCAAAUCCAUCAUAAUGUGUAGGUAUUUAUCGACUUUUGUUUAAAGCUAAGCGUGUCUUGCACUAAAGAUGAGCACUAUUCAAUCCUUAUUGGUUACAAGGACAGCAGUCUUAUCAAAACUGCACAUAACUUUAUUCACUUAGCGGACGCAUCAAUUCGAGAAUUCAUCAGACCUUUAAUACUAUUGUAAAGAUAGAACUUCGACCUUCUUUUAUUAUCUAUUAUUUUGAAAUAACUGCUACCUAUAAAGACCCUCUAAAGCUUCAUGGUAAUGUUGACAUUGCAUCGGGAUGCGUCAUUUUAGUGAAAAAUUCGUAUGGCAACUACAUACUCUACAUAUUCCUUAAUUAAUUAUGAUAUCGUUUUGAAAAACGUAACAUCACGUUAUAUUCAUGGGUCUUAGAUGUUGCAGAAAUGGUUGCAGACAUUCUUGAUAACCAUUAAUCUUUUGUGUAGUGCACCACAACUGAGUAGAGAGAGUCUGAGUAACAUCGCAUUAACACCUUCGAGUGCGUUUUGUGUGGCAAAUCAGAUUUGCAUUCUUUCAAUCAAUAAAAGUAUAACGUUGGCAUUUGUAGUUAAAUAUGCAACUUUCGAGCGCAUUUCCGCCCAAAAUACGAGAAAACAAAAGACAUCAACGCAUUAUUUUGGAGAAAUUAUUGGAAUGUCCUUUUAAAUGAUAUGCAAUUUGCACGCAUAGCGAUAUUAAAGACAUCGUUCAUUAGUACUAAUUUAAAUGUACGUCUUUGUUAUAGCACAAACCUCUUCUUUAUUCAUACUUGUCUCUUUUUAAGAAUGUGCGUUAGAUUGAUUUAGUUUUACGAUAAACUUACUUCAAUGAAAUCUCGUGACACAAAUUAGAUACUCGUAUUUCGCCAUUCACUAACUUUAAGAUUCCUCCGUUGCCUUCGAUAAAACGACAGCUUACAGCUACAGCAAGAUAUUUGCUAAUUGUAAAACUUGACAUAGGCAAAGGUCUAAGUACAUUUUCAUUAAAGAAUUUGAAUGAAAAUCGUGUCGAUACUUAUUUAAUGGUACCUUAUAGAAUCUGUAUUACAA